rnacentral:rRNA from 1 species
GAUGAACGCUGGCGGCGUGCCUAAUACAUGCAAGUCGAGCGAACAGACCAGGAGCUUGCUCCUCUGACGUUAGCGCCGGACGGGUGAGUAACACGUGGAUAACCUACCUAUCAGACUGGGAUAACUUCGGGAAACCGGAGCUUAUACCGGAUAAUAUAUUGAACCUCAUUGUUCAAUAGUGAAAGACGGUUUUGCUUUCACUCAUAGAUGGAUCCGCGCCGCAUCAGCUAGUUGGUAAGGUAACGGCUUACCAAGGCGACGAUGCGUAGCCGACCUGAGAGGGUGAUCGGCCACACUGGAACUGAGACACGGUCCAGACUCCUACGGGAGGCAGCAGUAGGGAAUCUUCCGCAAUGGGCGAAAGCCUGACGGAGCAACGCCGCGUGAGUGAUGAAGGUCUUCGGAUCGUAAAACUCUGUUAUUAGGGAAGAACAAAUGUGUAAGUAACUAUGCACGUCUUGACGGUACCUAAUCAGAAAGCCACGGCUAACUACGUG